rnacentral:sRNA from 1 species
GUUGCUUUCCAGGGGUCACUCUGGCUUCGACUCCGUCGCUCUCAAUUCGUCACCAGGAGGAAGACGGAGCUGGCUGCACAGCCCAAAGGCCCAUGAGGGGAUGCAGUUAUGGGCUCUGUUGCCGUGGAUUGUUAUUUUGUGUCAGUAAGUAAUCCAUAAAGUGCCAACAUGGGAAAGAAACGGACAAAGGGAAAAACUGUUCCGAUCGAUGAUUCCUCUGAAACUUUAGAACCUGUGUGCAGACACAUUAGAAAAGGAUUGGAACAAGGUAACUUGAAAAAGGCUUUAGUGAAUGUGGAAUGGAAUAUCUGCCAAGACUGUAAGACUGACAAUAAAGUGAAAGAUAAAGCUGAAGAAGAAACAGAAGAAAAGCCUUCAGUUUGGCUAUGUCUUAAAUGUGGCCAUCAGGGCUGUGGCAGAAAUUCUCAGGAGCAGCAUGCCUUGAAGCACUAUCUGACGCCAAGAUCUGAACCUCACUGUCUGGUUCUUAGUUUGGACAACUGGAGUGUAUGGUGUUACAUAUGUGAUAAUGAGGUCCAGUAUUGUAGUUCAAACCAAUUGGGUCAAGUGGUUGAUUAUGUCAGAAAACAAGCCGGCAUUACAACUCCAAAGCCAGCAGAGAAAGAUAAUGGAAAUAUUGAACUUGAAAAUAAAAAAUUAGAAAAAGAGAGUAAGAAUGAACAAGAGAGAGAAAAGAAGGAAAACAUGGCUAAAGAGAAUCCUCCCAUGAAUUCUCCUUGCCAAAUAACCGUGAAAGGACUCAGUAAUUUGGGAAACACAUGUUUCUUCAAUGCAGUUAUGCAGAACUUGUCACAAACACCAGUGCUUAGAGAACUACUAAAAGAAGUGAAAAUGUCUGGAACAAUUGUAAAAAUUGAACCACCUGAUUUGGCAUUAACAGAACCGUUAGAAAUAAACCUUGAGCCUCCAGGCCCUCUUACUUUAGCCAUGAGCCAGUUUCUUAAUGAGAUGCAAGAGACCAAAAAGGGGGUUGUGACACCGAAAGAACUCUUUUCUCAGGUCUGUAAAAAAGCAGUGCGGUUUAAAGGCUAUCAGCAGCAAGACAGCCAGGAGCUGCUUCGCUAUUUAUUGGAUGGGAUGAGAGCAGAAGAACACCAAAGAGUGAGUAAAGGAAUACUUAAAGCAUUUGGUAAUUCUACAGAAAAAUUGGAUGAAGAACUAAAAAAUAAAGUUAAAGAUUAUGAGAAGAAAAAAUCAAUACCAAGUUUUGUUGACCGCAUCUUUGGUGGUGAACUAACUAGUAUGAUCAUGUGUGAUCAAUGCAGAACUGUCUCCUUGGUUCAUGAAUCUUUCCUUGAUUUGUCCCUCCCAGUUUUGGAUGAUCAGGUAAGACUAUUGAGUUUAUUUUAUUCAAGUAGAUUUUUUUUCCUGUAAGAUUUUAUGGGGGGAAGCCUUGUUACUCUUUUUAAGUUUGUGUAUUACUAGCCCAUGCAGAAAUUUUUCUUAAUUUGAGGUAGAAUGAUUUUUAGGAUUUGAAUAAAGUACAGGGUAACUACUUUUAAAAACAAGGAUGGAAAAAAAGAUGAUGUAUUCAGAAUUCUGUACACAUAAUUAGUUUGAUUGGUUUCCAUACAGGGAAAUAUUUUCCUUAUAUUAAAAUUAAUACUUAUUUUUGUUAUUUAAGACUAAUCACGAAUCCCUUGCACACACCUAAGUUCAUAAAUGUUAAAUAAAGAGUAUUAUUUCGUUUUAAUUUGGUUCCUUUUAAGUAGUAAUAGGAAAAAAGAAGAGAUGUUAUGAGUAUUGGAUAAAUCAUUCUUCAACUUCGUAUGAAUUAUGAGACCCUUGGCUUGUUACUUGGCAAUUAAAGUCUCACCAAACUUUAUUUUCUCUUUUUCUGAAACUGUCAUAUGCAUGCAAAGAAAGAAAAGAAUAAAAAAGAAUACACCGUGGUGACUUAUAUAAGUCACUUAGAAAAUGUAUUUGGAAAUGGACGUAUUUACAGUGUGACACAGCAUGUAUCUAAUAAAUUUCGUUAUAUUUCUAUUACACUUGCAUGUGAUGUUGCCUUUUGCUGUUUUGUUUGCUUGUUUUCUCAUUAUAUGAAGAUUGCUUUCUAGUAUAUGAGAUAAAGAAAUUUUGUCUCAUCUAUUUUCAAAUAUUGUGGAAAAAAAAGCUAGUAUAUAAUAGAAGUAGAAAAAUAUUUACAUAGUGUGGAUUUUUUUUCACCAAACGGUAGUUGUAAAAUUUUGUUUUUGACCUAUGUUAUCUAUAUUUUAAGAGCGGUAAGAAAAGUGUAAAUGAUAAAAAUCUGAAAAAGACAAUGGAGGAUGAAGAUCAAGAUAGCGAGGAAGAAAAAGAUAAUGACAGUUACAUGAAAGAGAGAAGUGAUAUUCCUUCUGGAACAAGUAAGCACUUACAGAAAAAAGCAAAGAAACAAGCCAAAAAGCAAGCCAAGAACCAACGAAGACAACAAAAAAUUCAAGGAAAAGUUCUUCAUUUAAAUGAUAUUUGUACUAUUGACCAUCCUGAAGACAGUGAAUAUGAAGCUGAAAUGUCACUUCAAGGAGAAGUAAAUAUUAAAUCCAACCAUAUUUCACAAGAGGGUGUUAUGCAUAAAGAAUAUUGUAUCAACCAGAAAGAUUUGAAUGGCCAAGCAAAAAUGAUCGAAAGUGUAACUGACAAUCAAAAAUCCACAGAGGAAGUAGAUAUGAAAAAUAUCAACAUGGAUAAUGAUCUGGUGGUUUUACCAUCUCCCACUGACUGUACUAGGAAUUUAAAUGGUACCUACCUAACGGAAGGGAGCAAUGGAGAAGUGGACAUUUCCAAUGGUUUCAAAAACCUAAAUUUGAAUGCUGCUCUUCAUCCUGAUGAAAUAAAUAUAGAGAUUCUGAAUGAUAGUCAUACUCCUGGAACAAAGGUGUAUGAGGUUGUAAAUGAAGAUCCAGAAACUGCUUUCUGUACUCUUGCAAACAGGGAAGUUUUCAAUACUGAUGAGUGUUCAAUCCAACAUUGUUUAUAUCAGUUCACCCGUAAUGAGAAACUUCGAGAUGCGAAUAAACUGCUUUGUGAAGUAUGCACAAGGAGACAGUGUAAUGGACCAAAGGCAAAUAUAAAAGGUGAAAGGAAGCAUGUUUACACCAAUGCCAAAAAGCAGAUGCUAAUUUCUCUUGCUCCUCCUGUUCUUACUCUUCAUUUAAAGAGAUUUCAGCAGGCUGGUUUUAACCUACGCAAAGUUAACAAACACAUAAAGUUUCCGGAAAUCUUAGAUUUGGCUCCUUUUUGCACCCUUAAAUGUAAGAAUGUUGCAGAAGAAAAUACAAGGGUACUCUAUUCCUUAUAUGGAGUUGUUGAACACAGUGGUACUAUGAGGUCGGGGCAUUACACUGCCUAUGCCAAGGCAAGAACCACAAAUAGUCAUCUCUAUAAUCUUGUUCUUCACGGUGAUAUUCCACAAGAUUUUGAAAUGGAAUCAAAAGGGCAGUGGUUUCACAUCAGCGACACACAUGUGCAAGCUGUGCCUACAACUAAAGUACUAAACUCACAAGCGUACCUCCUAUUUUAUGAGAGAAUACUGUAAUAUCAAAAGUACUUUUUCUGGAAACACAUUUAUGGCUUUUAUAAUGGCUGAAAUAACAAUAAAAAAAGUAAAGACUAAUUAAAAUCAUGUUCACUUAACAUUAAAUACAUGCCAGAAGAAAUCAUGUUUAUUUAAAUAUUGAAAGGAAAAACCGAAAAAUGUACAAAGGUUUUAUAUUGUCAUAUAGUGGUUUUUAUUCCUGCUUUGUUUCUGGAAAGGAAAUCCUGAAUUACUUAAGUCCUUUGUGUUUAAUAUAUCUGGGUGAUGGAUCACAACACAUCAAUAAACUGACUUACCCUAAAA